CAGUCGCCGCGGUAAUACGGAGGGUGCAAGCGUUAAUCGGAAUUACUGGGCGUAAAGCGCACGCAGGCGGUCUGACAAGUCAGAUGUGAAAUCCCCGGGCUUAACCUGGGAACUGCAUUUGAAACUGUCAGGCUGGAGUCUUGUAGAGGGGGGUGGAAUUCCAGGUGUAGCGGUGAAAUGCGUAGAGAUCUGGAGGAAUACCGGUGGCGAAGGCGGCCCCCUGGACAAAGACUGACGCUCAGGUGCGAAAGCGUGGGGAGCAAACAGGAUUAGAUACCCCAGUAGUCCCUGUUUCUUAUAC
rnacentral:rRNA from 1 species